rnacentral:lncRNA from 1 species
AAAUUCCUCUUCAACCAUAAAUCUCUCUGACUACUUCAUUUUCUCUCCUCAACAGUAAUACACAAAGUUUCUUAUUGGAUUCAAGCCAAGAUCAACGUAUCAAGAUGUUCAUCUUCCAUGUGUAGAGGUUUCAUAUAUAUGUAUUUAUUAGUUUGUCGUUAUGCCUGGCUCCCUGUAUGCCACGAGUGGAUACCGAUUUUGGUUUAAAAAUCGGCUGCCGGUGGCGUACAAGGAGCCAAGCAUGACCAGAAGCAUAUGAUAACUCAUUUGCAUCAACAACUAUAUAUGGUUUGUGUUAUAGUAGAUGAUGUCUUAUUCAAUAUUCAUCUUUGGUGUUUAUAACUUUGUGUUUUUGAUCAGUAAACAGAAAUAAAACCAUAGUUUUGUGAUUGUCUGUUUGAUAUGUACUACGAUACUUUUGUUUGGAUUCGGUUUUAGUCAUAUGAAUAGUCGUGAGUUUUUUUAAAAGAAUGGUUUCGUUUUCUCCCGGUUUGGUCAAGUAACUUGUUUCAAGUUUCAUAAGUAUAGAAUUUGAUUAGGGCUACAAUAAUCUAAAUUGAUUCGUUUAAAGUUACAGUGAUUUGGUUUGUCCAAAUAUAUACUCGAGUCAUUUCGUUUGUUUUUAUUUUAGUCUUGGUGUAAUCAUUUCGUCUAUGUUAUGUAGCUUUACUGUAAAGUUCUUCUAUGUUUGAAUUUUUGUCUACUUUUUUUAUAUGAAUAUUUUGGGAUGCACCGAACUUGAAUCAUUUCAUUUGAAUUAUCAUUGGCGGACAAAGUUGAAGUCUUAGGAGAAGAAACAUGUUUGAGAGUGUUCUUUUGUUUUCGGUGGCAAACAGUAAACGUAACAAUCAAUCAGAUUAAUUCUGAAGAAAAAACUCAGAAUUUAGGCGUUAAUUAAGUCUUUAAAAGUUGAAUCAAUCACGGAACACUAUAAAUUGACGGUGAACCAUUUAACAUGGUUAUUUUAAAACCACUUCCAUAUAUAUAAUUAACUAGUGUUUGAUAAAAAUAAGUUAAAGGGGGAAAUUGGGAUCUAUACAAGGGAAGUAUCUAGUAUAUAGUUUUAUGUUAUGUCUUUCUAAGUUGUGUAUUAACCAAAAUUUUCUUUGUUAGGAUAAGAAUGCUUUGUUUUUCAAACAUUUACCAUAUUUAAGUAGUAGGAAUUGACUUUGCUAAACAGGUAGAUAUGUAAACAUUUUACUUGUAACGUGCGACUCGAUUUCUAAUUUUGUUCGGAUUUUUCAGAUAGUCGGAGGCUCUUACGAGUACGGAUUGUGACCUACCCGCGAUUGCAAGUACAAGUAGAAACAGAAAACAAUAACGGACAUUUAGAAAAUUUUGAAUUCAAGAAUUUGUACCCAAUCUCAAAAUAUACAUUCUAUUUAUUUUUAUAUAGAUUAAUAUGAUACAUAUAAAUAAUUAUAUUUUUCUUUUUCAUGAUAUUAUUCAUUAAUCCUUGCAAAUUUGAUCACUGUGAUUAAAGCUAAUUUUCUAUACUUCAUGUUUUUUUCUUAACAAAUCUAUAUUUCAUGUUUAUAACUUAUAAAACAG